rnacentral:lncRNA from 1 species
GGAAGGCGCAUGGCUGAGGGAGGGCUCAGCCAGCCGUGGGCUGUUAGGGACCUAGAGUCCAGGCCGUGUGCUGUUAGGAUUCUAGAGUCCAGGGAGGUUCUGUUUAGGAAGAGAGAAAGUAGGAGGUUUGUUUCUAUUUUUGUAACCAGCCAAGUCUAUAAGGCUGAGAUUAUUUGUCUUAAUGAGAUUAAGCCUGGAUUGAGACCUAAGUCUCCCCUGGGCGCCAGGACCCUGUCUCCCUGUUCUCGUUCUCCCAGCAGCCACCGAUCACGGCGCCUCCCACACGCCGGCGACGCCCUCGCUUGCUGCCGGCUCCCUCUCAUCCCUAUCGCCUUCGCCCUCUUCCGUGUCGUAACAACCUGGUAUCAGAGACCAUGUCUUCUCCAGCCCGCCGCCCACCACCACCACAGCGCUGCUCAACUCGUCCGCCGCGGGGAUCGUUCCAUCCUCGCCACCAGCUGGGCAGCCGAUCGAACCGACCGCCGCCGCUUUCGGCAACCUGGUCGCUGCCAUCUACGGGAUGCAAAAGCAGAUCGGCGAUCUCUCGGUCCGCAUGUCCUCCGUGGAAGGCCGCCAGUCCUCACCACCGCAGUCUUACCCCUACGGAUUGCCGGGUUACGGCGGCGUACCAGUGCUGCCAGCACCAGGGCCAGCCAUCUCCGAGCUCUUCGCUAUGCCGCCGUUUCAGCCGCCGCAGCACACAUCCACCACCCCCGCCCUGCCCUCCAUCGCAUCGCCGUCGAGGACUGGGGGCGUUCCCAUCACCCAAAUCUCGUUUCCUCACUCGCCAUCACCAGUUCCCACCAUGUCCUCCAUUAUGGGCAGCGCCCAUCCCCCAACCCAGCCGCCUACCGCUCACUACACCGCUGCCCAGCCUUCUGUCCCUGAAUCUGCGAAUCCCAUCUUCCCUCGCUACCAGAAGCUGGAAUUCCCCACCUAUGAUGGCAAGGACGAUCCGCUCGGGUGGCUCAACAAAUGCGAACAGUUCUUCACGGCGCAGCAGACACGCCACGCCGACUGGGUCUGGCUUGCGUCCUUCCAUCUCAACGGGGUCGCGCAGCAAUGGUACUUGGUCCUGGAGAGUGACUGCGGCCGGCCGACAUGGGAGGAUUUUCGGAGCCUGUGCCAUCAGCGCUUCGGACCGCCGCUCAGCACCAACCACCUCUCCGACCUGGCACGCCUGCCCUUCACGUCGACCGUCGAGGCAUACAUGGAGGCGUUCCAGGCACGGGCGGCACAUGCGGGCCACCUCGCGCCUCGCCAGAAGGCGCUGCUGUUCACCGGUGGCCUCCCGGACCACAUCCGCAUCGACGUCGAACUCCUGGAACCGCAAGACCUGUAGCGCGCGAUGUAUCUCGCCCGGGCCUAUGAACGUCGGAAUGCACCAGCACAGCUCGCCCUGCCGGCACCUCCGCAGCGCCCUGCGCGUCGGGCUCCAGGACAGCAGCAUGCUCCGGUCGCCCUGCAGGCGCCAGCUCCAGCAACUGCGGGCACGGCCGCUGUCCCUGCGCGCCCCUUCAAGCGCCUCUCGCCGGAGGAGAUGGCCCUGCGCAGCAAGCAGGGGCUUUGUUACAACUGUGACGAGCCCUACGUCCGCGGGCACAAGUGCGCCCGCCUCUUCUUCCUGGAGGUCGCUGACUACAUCGUCGAGGAACCGGAUGACGCCGUGGACACGGCCGAGGCCACGACGACGGAGCAGGCUGCGUUCGAUCCAAACGGCCCUCUGAUCUCAUUGGCUGCCAUCACAGGCAUCCGCAUUGAGGAGACGAUGCAGCUCCGCGUCCGCGUCGGCAAGCUGACACUCUCAGCCCUCCUCGACUCGGGAUCCACGCACAACUUCAUCAACACCGCAGCAGCAGCACGCGUGGGUCUCCAGUUCGCCGACAGUGAGGGCGCGCACGUGGUCGUGGCCAACGGUGACUGUGUCGCGUGCAGCGGCCUCACCAGCAACGUCCCCCUCUAAAUUAGCCCCGAGUCGUUCAAGGUGGACCUCUACUCCAUUCCGCUCGACUGCUACGACAUGGUCCUUGGCGUCGCGUUCCUCCGCACGCUGGGACCCGUCGUCUGGGACUUCGACGCCUUGCAAAUGGCCUUCCUCCGCCACGGACGCCGCGUGCUCUGGCAGGGCACUGGUGCUGCCCGCCCAGCGCACCAGACAGCACCACGCACCCAUGUAGGCCACCUCUACGCCGCCAAGGCGACCGAAGCGGCGCUCUUGGAGAGGCUCCUCGACGCCUACGCCGAUGUCUUCGCCGCUCCAUCGGGUCUCCCACCGGCCCGACCAUGUGACCACCGGAUCCACCUCAAGGCCUCAAUGGAGCCGGUGGCUGUCCGGCCAUACAGAUACCCGCAGCUGCAGAAGGAUGUACUGGAACGCCAGUGCGACACCAUGCUGCAGCAGGGGCUCAUUCGCGCCAGCACCUCACCAUUUUCGGCCCCCGUCCUGCUGGUCAAGAAGGCUGACGCGACAUGGCGCUUCUGCGUGGAUUACAGGGCGCUGAACACAGCGACCGUGAAAGACAAGUUCCCCAUCCCGGUCGUCGAGGAGCUCCUGGACGAGCUGCACGGUGCCAAGUUCUUCACCAAGCUCGAUCUGCGGUCCGGCUAUCACCAAGUGCGCGUCCAUCCCGAUGACGUGCACAAGACAGCGUUCCGGACUCACCACGGCCACUUCGAGUUCCUCGUCAUGCCGUUCGGCCUCUCCAACGCACCGUCAACGUUCCAGGCGCUCAUGAACUUCGUCCUAAAGCCGUUCCUCCGCCGGUGCAUCCUUGUUUUCUUUGACGACAUUCUUGUCUACAGUGCUUCGUGGACAGAACACUUGCAGCAGCUCCGCGCCGUCCUCGACACCCUUCGGGCGCACCACCUCCACGUCAAGCGUUCGAAGUGCUCCUUCGCCGAACAGGCCGUGCACUACCUCGGGCACGUCAUCACGGCGACCGGUGUGGCCAUGGACACAUCAAAGGUCUCUGCGGUCCAGGCGUGGCCGCAGCCCCGCUCCACCAGAGGCCUGCGCGGCUUCCUUGGCCUCGCAGGGUACUAUCGGCGCUUCAUCCGCAACUACGGCACCAUUGCUGCGCCCCUAACGCAGCUGCUGCGCAACGCCGGUUUCUAGUGGACCGACGCGGCGACUGCGGCCUUUGACGAGCUCAAAGCAGCCCUCGCGGCUGCACCGGUCCUCCACCUGCCAGACUUCGCGCGGGACUUCAUCGUUGACUGCGACGCCUCCGGCUCCGGCUUCGGUGCGGUGCUGCACCAAGGGGAAGGUCCGAUCGCCUACUUCAGCUGCCCGUUCGCUGCUCGCCAUCUCAAGUCAGCAGCAUACGAGCGUGAACUCAUCGGGUUGGUACAGGCUGUCCGGCAUUGGCGGCCGUAUCUCUGGGGGCGCGCGUUCAUCGUUCGCACCGACCACUACGCCCUCAAGUUCCUCCUCGACCAGCGCCUCUCCACAAUCCCGUAGAACCACUGGGUGAGCAAACUCUUCGGCUAUGAUUUUCAGGUGCAGUACAGACAAGGCCGCCUCAACGUGGUCGCCGAUGCCUUGUCACGUCGGGACGGCGAUUCCCCCUUGCUGGACUCCCUGAUCACAGAGCCAGCGCUGGCAGCGCUGUCUGUGCCGGCCUUCCAGCUCUUCGCAGACCUGCGCGCGGAGCUGCAGGCGAACUCCGACCUGCGCGCUCGACGGGAUGCGGUCGCAGCGGGCGAGCACGGCCCCAGCUGGAGCGUGCGCGACGGCCUCAUCCUCCACAACGGCCGGGUGUUCAUCCCUGCUAAUGCGCAGGCCCUCGACGACGUUCUCCAGCUUGCGCACACCGGGGCGCAUAAAGGCAUCCAGAAAACUCUUCAGCGCCUCAGGGCCAAUUUUUCCGUCGAGCAUGAUCGGCGGGUGGUCCGUGACUUCGUUCGAGCUUGCACCACCUGCCAGCGGAAUAAAACCGAGGCUCUCCACCCCGCCGGCCUCCUACAGCCCCUGUCGGUCCCCUCCAGAGUUUGGGCGGAUAUUUCCAUCGACUUCAUCGAGGCCCUGCCCAAGGUGCACGGCAAGAGCGUCAUCCUCACCGUCGUGGACCGGUUCUCCAAGUACGCGCACUUCAUCGCGUUGGGGCACCCGUACACCGCCGCGUCCGUCGCUCGCGCCUUCUUCCACGACAUCAUUCGGCUCCACGGAUUUCCGGAGUCCAUCGUCAGCGACCGCGACCCGGUCUUCACUGGUCAGGUGUGGCGGGACCUCUUCCGUCUGGCGGGUGUCCAGCUGCGUCUCAGCACGGCCUUCCAUCCUCAAACGGAUGGCCAGUCUGAGGCGGUGAACAAGACCAUCGCCAUGUACCUGAGGUGCCUCACCGGCGACUGCCCACGCGACUGGCUCGACUGGUUGCCCUGGGCCGAGUUCUGCUACAACACGGCGUUCCAUUCUGCGCUCCGGACUUCGCCGUUCGCCGUCGUCUACGGUCGGCCACCCCUGGACCUCCUGCCGUACACACAGGGGCGAGCCGACACAACGGCUGUGGACGCCAUGCUAGCCAGCCGGGACGAGUUCCUGGCUGAAGUUCGCGCUCGACUUCUUCAAGCCCAGGAACACGCACGCCGUACGUACGACACCAAGCACCAUCCGCUCCAGCUUUCCGUCGGUGGUUGGGUUUGGCUCCGCCUCCUGCAUCCUCCGACCAAGGCGCUGGUCCCGGGAGGUCGUGGCAAGCUUGGUCCCAAGUUUGCUGGGCCUUAUCAAAUCGUCGAAAAGAUCAACGAAGUGGCAUACCGGCUGGCUCUUCCUGCAGGUGCACGGAUCCACGACGUCUUCCAUGUUGGGGUGCUCAAGCCAUUCCGCGGCACUCCCCCGAACGACGUUCCAGCUCUGCCUCCGCUACGCCAUGGGCGGCCGCUGCUGCGUCCUGAGCGCAUUCUCCGUUCUAGCCUGCGUCGCGGGGAAUGAUUCGUUCUUGUGCAGUGGGCUGAUAUGCCAGCGUCUGAAGCCACGUGGGAGCACCGGGAGGAGUUCCAAGCAGCACACCCGGACUUCCAGCUCGAGGACGAGCUGUUUCCCGAGGAGGGGAGAGAUGUUAUGGUAGGCAACACCUAUCAAAGGAAAAGGAAGGCGCAUGGCUGAGGGAGGGCUCAGCCAGCCGUGGGCUGUUAGGGACCUAGAGUCCAGGCCGUGUGCUGUUAGGAUUCUAGAGUCCAGGGAGGUUCUGUUUAGGAAGAGAGAAAGUAGGAGGUUUGUUUCUAUUUUUGUAACCAGCCAAGUCUAUAAGGUUGAGAUUAUUUGUCUUAAUGAGAUUAAGCCUGGAUUGAGACCUAAGUCUCCCCUGGGCGCCAG